rnacentral:rRNA from 1 species
AACGAACGCUGGCGGCAUGCCUAACACAUGCAAGUCGAACGAGACCUUCGGGUCUAGUGGCGCACGGGUGCGUAACGCGUGGGAACCUGCCCUUAGGUUCGGAAUAACUCCCCGAAAGGGGUGCUAAUACCGGAUAAUGUCUUCGGACCAAAGAUUUAUCGCCGUUGGAUGGGCCCGCGUUGGUUUAGCUAGUUGGUAGGGUAAAAGCCUACCAAGGCGACGAUCCAUAGCUGGUCUGAGAGGAUGAUCAGCCACACUGGGACUGAGACACGGCCCAGACUCCUACGGGAGGGAGCAGUGGGGAAUAUUGGACAAUGGGGGAAGGCCUGAUGCAGCAAUGCCGCGUGAGUGAUGAAGGCCGUAGGGUAGUAAAGCUCUUUUACCCGGGAUGAUAAUGACAGUACCGGGAGAAUAAGCACCGGCUAACUCCGUG